rnacentral:rRNA from 1 species
AACGAACGCUGGCGGCAGGCUUAACACAUGCGAGUUGAACGGGAUUUGUAUGGUGCUUGCACUAUAUAAUGAGAGUAGCGCACUGGUGAGUAACACGUGGGAACAUACCUUGAAGUGGGGAACAACAGUUGGAAACGACUGCUAAUACCGCAUACGCCCUGAGGGGGAAAGAUUUAUCGCUUUAAGAUUGGCCCGCGGAAGAUUAGGUAGUUGGUGGGGUAAAGGCCUACCAAGCCGACGAUCUAUAGCUGGUCUGAGAGGACGAACAGCCACAUUGGAACUGAGACACGGUCCAG